ensembl:lncRNA
GUGUGUCGUCAUAGUGACUCACUCAGGCUUCAGCUGAACUCGCUUUGUGAAACCGAAAACCCAGAGUUUUCGUUAACUCAGGGUAUACUUACUCAGUUUUUCCACUAAACCGGCUUCCUGAAACAGGGCCCAGGUGUACGGCCCAGGGCUUCGGAGACAAGCAGCCGAAACUGAAACUAAAAACUAAUGGAAAGUAAGAGCAGCCACACCAAGACCUACUUAACAAUCCAAGACGGCAGCAGUGAAUAAUGUAGUCCGUAAAUCCGAGGUGUAUUGAACGCAGCAGCUAUCAGUACUUACAGCUGGAGGAAGGCGGGGCG